rnacentral:rRNA from 1 species
UUCGCAAUGCCCGAAAGGGUGACGAAGCGACGCCGCGUGGAUGAAGAAGGCCUUCGGGUUGUAAAGCCCUGUCAGGAGUUAUGAAAUGUAAGUACGCUAAUAUCGUGCUUAUUUGACAAAGGCUCCAAAGGAAGCCACGGCUAACUCUGUGCCAGCAGCCGCGGUAAUACAGAGGUGGCGAGCGUUGUUCGGAAUUAUUGGGCGUAAAGAGCACGUAGGUGGGUUUGCAAGUCAGAUGUGAAAGCCUUCUGUUCAACGGAAGAAUUGCAUCUGAAACUGCAAACCUUGAGUGUAGGAGGGGAGAAUGGAACUUCUGGUGGAGCGGUGAAAUGCGUAGAUAUCAGAAGGAACGCCGGCGGCGAAAGCGAUUCUCUGGCCUAUUACUGACACUCAGUGUGCGAAAGCUAGGGGAGCAAACGGGAUUAGAUACCCCGGUAGUCCUAGCCGUAAACGAUGGGCACUAA